rnacentral:rRNA from 1 species
GAAUAUGUAGUGUAGCGGUGAAAUGCUUAGAUAUUACAUGGAAUACCAAUUGCGAAGGCAGGUUACUACAAGUGGAUUGACGCUGAUGGACGAAAGCGUGGGGAGCGAACAGGAUUAGAUACCCUGGUAGUCCACGCCGUAAACGAUGGAUACUAGCUGUUCGGAGCAAUCUGAGUGGCUAAGCGAAAGUGAUAAGUAUCCCACCUGGGGAGUACGCACGCAAGUGUGAAACUCAAAGGAAUUGACGGGGGCCCGCACAAGCGGAGGAGCAUGUGGUUUAAUUCGAUGAUACGCGAGGAACCUUACCAGGGCUUAAAUGGGAGACGACAGUUUGGGAAACCAGAUUUUCUUCGGACGUCUUUCAAGGUGCUGCAUGGUUGUCGUCAGCUCGUGCCGUGAGGUGUCAGGUUAAGUCCUAUAACGAGCGCAACCCCUAUUGUUAGUUGCCAGCGGGUCAUGCCGGGAACUCUAACAAGACUGCCGGUGCAAACCGUGAGGAAGGUGGGGAUGACGUCAAAUCAUCACGGCCCUUACGUCCUGGGCUACACACGUGCUACAAUGGACGGUACAGAGAGCAGCCACUGCGCAAGCAGGAGCGAAUCUUCAAAGCCGUUCUCAGUUCGGAUCGGAGUCUGCAACUCGACUCCGUGAAGCUGGAUUCGCUAGUAAUCGCAUAUCAGCCAUGAUGCGGUGAAUACGUUCCCGGGCCUUGUACACACCGCCCGUCAAGCCA